rnacentral:rRNA from 1 species
AUGGAUGUUAACAGAGCACCUGGCCCCGAUAACAUCCCUACAGAGUUUUAUCAACAUUGCUGUAGCGUUGUGAAAAAUGACAUCAUGCGGCUGUUCAGUCACUUCCAUGCUGGUAUGCUUGACAUGCAUUGUCUCAACUAUGGGGUGAUUACUCUCCUUCCUAAAGUGCCAAGUGGUGAUCGUAUUUAGCAAUUUCGACCUAUCUGUCUUCUUAGGUGUCCAUAUAAACUCAUCACUAAAACUAUGGAUCGGAGAGUAAAAAAAUAUGCUGACAAGCUGAUAAGCUUGUCACAAAAUGCUUUCGUAAAAGGGAGGAAUAUUAUGGAUGGGUCAUGA